UACGUAGGGUGCGAGCGUUGUCCGGGAAUUAUUGGGCGUAAAGGGCUCGUAGGCGGUUUGUCGCGUCGGGAGUGAAAUCCACUGGCUUCAACUGGUGGCUUGCUUUCGAUACGGGCAGACUGGAGGUAUGCAGGGGAGAACGAAGUUCCUGGUGUAGCGGUGAAAUGCGCAGAUAUCAGGAGGAACACCGGUGGCGAAGGCGGUUCUCUGGGCAUGUCCUGACGCUGAGGAGCGAAAGUGUGGGGGAGCGAACAGG
rnacentral:rRNA from 1 species